rnacentral:miRNA from 1 species
AAGGAUGACCAACACUCACGGAUUUCCAAUAAGUAAAAAAAGUAAAGUUUUAUUAAUCCAUAUCUUUAAAAAGCUGCUUCAACGUUUCAGUCCUCGUCUGGGACUUUCUUCAGGAACGAUAUGGAUUAAUAAAACUUUACUUUUUUUACUUAUUGGAAAUCCGUGAGUGCUGGUCAUCCUACAUUGGU